AUGCACGCUGGCGGCGUGCCUAAUACAUGCCAGUCGAGCGAACAGACGAGGAGCUUGCUCCUCUGACGUUAGCGGCGGACGGGUGAGUAACACGUGGAUAACCUACCUAUAAGACUGGGAUAACUUCGGGAAACCGGAGCUAAUACCGGAUAAUAUAUUGAACCGCAUGGUUCAAUAGUGAAAGACGGUUUUGCUGUCACUUAUAGAUGGUUCCGCGCCGCAUUAGCUAGUUGGUAAGGUAACGGCUUACCAAGGCAACGAUGCGUAGCCGACCUGAGAGGGGGUCGGCCAACAUGGGAAUUGAAGCCGGGUCCAGCCCCCGAGGGAGGGCAGAAGUGGGGAUGCUUCCGAAAGGGGGGAAGGUUGGACGGACAAACGCCGCGGGGGGAAGAAGGUUCUUGGGUCCAAAAAACUUUUUUAUGAGGAAAAAAAAAUUGUGAAAUUAACUAUGAACGUCUUGACGGUACCUAACAAGAAAGCCACGGCUAACUACGUG
rnacentral:rRNA from 1 species